rnacentral:rRNA from 1 species
CGCGUAGGCGGAUCGCUAAGUCAGAGGUGAAAUCCCAGGGCUCAACCCUGGAACUGCCUUUGAUACUGGCGAUCUUGAGUAUGAGAGAGGUAUGUGGAACUCCGAGUGUAGAGGUGAAAUUCGUAGAUAUUCGGAAGAACACCAGUGGCGAAGGCGACAUACUGGCUCAUUACUGACGCUGAGGCGCGAAAGGCGUGGGAGCAAACA